rnacentral:rRNA from 1 species
AGCCUGAUGCAGCCAUGCCGCGUGUAUGAAGAAGGCCUUCGGGUUGUAAAGUACUUUCAGCAGUGAGGAAGGGGGAAGUUUUAAUAGCGCCGCCUYUUGACGUUAGCUGCAGAAGAAGCACCGGCUAACUCCGUGCCAGCAGCCGCGGUAAU